rnacentral:ncRNA from 1 species
CAAAAGCUUGGUCCUGACUUUACUGUCAGCUUUGGUCAAAUUUAUACAUGCAAGUAUCCGCAUCCCCGUGAGAAUGCCCUAUAUAUUCCAAACAUGGAAAAAAGGAGCAGGCAUUAGGCACAACCCUACGUUAGCCCAAGACGCCUUGCUUAGCCACACCCCUACGGGAUUUCAGCAGUAAUAAACAUUAAGCAAUUAGUGCAAACUUGACUUAGUUAAGACCAGAAGGGCCGGUAAACCUCGUGCCAGCCACCGCGGUUAUACGAGAGGCCCAAGUUGACAAAUACCGGCGUAAAAUGUGGAUAGUAUACAGUAUUUCACUAAAGUCAAACAUCUUCAAAGCUGUCAUAUGCACUCGAAGACAGGAGGUUCUUCCACGAAAGUGACUUUAAAUAAUAUUACCCCACGAAAGCUAGGAAACAAACUGGGAUUAGAUACCCCACUAUGCCUAGCCCUAAACACGAGUAGCUUAUUACAUCUCUUACUUGCCAGGGAACUACGAGCCCCAGCUUAAAACCCAAAGGACUUGGCGGUGCUUUAGACCCACCUAGAGGAGCCUGUUCUAGAACCGAUACCCCCCGUUCAACCUCACCCUCUCUUGUUUUUUCCGCCUAUAUACCGCCGUCGUCAGCUCACCCCAUGAGGGCUUAAUAGUGAGCAAAAUUGGCACAACCCAAAACGCCAGGUCGAGGUGUAGCGUACGAGAGGGGAAGAAAUGGGCUACAUUCACUAAGUAAGUGCAUACGAAUACUGUUUUGAAAUAAACAUUUGAAGGAGGAUUUAGCAGUAAGUGGGGAAUAGAGCGCCCCUCUGAAACUGGCCCUGAAGCGCGCACACACCGCCCGUCACUCUCCCCAAAAUAGUAAACAAUGAAUAAAUAAAUAAUAACGAAGACAAAGGGGAGGCAAGUCGUAACAUGGUAAGUGUACCGGAAGGUGCACUUGGAAAAAC